rnacentral:rRNA from 1 species
GACGAACGCUGGCGGCGUGCUUAACACAUGCAAGUCGAGCGGUAAGGCCCUUUCGGGGGUACGACGAGCGGCGAACGGGUAGGAGUAACAACGUGGGUGGACCUCGCCCUCCAGCUCUGGGAGUAAGACCUCGGGAAACGUAGGGUCGUAAUACUGGAUAUGACUCCACGGUGGCAUGUCGUGGGGGUGGGAAAGCCUUGUGCGGCUGAGGAUGGGCCCGGCGGCCUAUCAGCUUGUUGGUGGGGUGAU